rnacentral:rRNA from 1 species
UAAAGCGUGCGCAGGCGGUUAUGUAAGACAGAUGUGAAAUCCCCGGGCUCAACCUGGGAACUGCAUUAGUGACUGCAUAGCUGGAGUACGGCAGAGGGGGAUGGAAUUCCGCGUGUAGCAGUGAAAUGCGUAGAUAUGCGGAGGAACACCGAUGGCGAAGGCAAUCCCCUGGGCCUGUACUGACGCUCAUGCACGAAAGCGUGGGGAGCAAACAGGAUUAGAACCCGAGU